UAUUAGCGAUCGAGGAAAAGCCAAACUCCAAAGAAGAGGGUGGAGGGGCCAAAAAGCAUUGAUCAACAUAUGCCAAAGAAGAGGAGUGAACAUGGCUCGGUGAGUGGAAAAGCGUCGAACAAGAGCUCUUCACGAGGUUCAGCUAUGCAAGCUACUCCAUUAGUUGAAGACACGGUGCUUCAAUCUCUCUCUAAGGAGUUAACUUAUCUGCACAACCGUGUUUGCGUGUUGCCUAGUGACAGCUCCAUUCAAGUUCCACUACCUAAGGAAAUGUUCCACUACGAUGAUGAUGCAAUGGCAUGGCUAUUUAAAGAAGAUUUGAAGGAAUUUCUAAGUGGUGCAAUGCUCAACAUUUCCCUCAUUCAAAUAUGCAUCAGAGCACUCUAGGAGCACUUAUGGGAGCUUGGUUCUCCCUGUCAAAUUGGGUGGUUAUGCCCUGAGCAGAUCUCCACUGCUAGAAUCUUAGGCAACCACGCUGACGUGUUGUACUAUGUUGAACGGGGUAUCAAGGAAUCAGUGCGUGCGGAAGACAUGUUUAUAUUUGCCCCAUAUUAUGAGGAUUAUCAUUGGACCCUACUGGUGAUUUGUGUUUCCAGUAACACAAUAUUCUUCUUUGAUUCUGUUUGGUUACCUCAACCAAGAAAGCGCCUCGUGAAGUCCAUACUGCAAAAUGUUAUGAAGAAGAUAAAUUCUCGAGCUCCUCGAGGUCCUACAUGGAUAUCACCGAUGGUAAU